CAAGAACCGACACAGGUGUCCCUAGGUGAGUAGCCUAAGGCGUGUUAGCAUAAUCGUGGCGAGGGAACUCGGCAAAUUAGCCCUGUAACUUCGGGAUAAGGGGUGCCAGUAGUGAGAGCUACUGGUCGCAGUGACAAGAGAACACCGACUGUUUAAUAAAAACAUAGGUCUCUGCUAGUUCGAAAGGAUGUGUAUAGAGGCCGAAGCCUGCCCAGUGUCGGCAUCUGAAAAUCUGUUUCAACGGAUCGAAGGACCGAUAAACGGCGGGGGUAACAAUGACCCUCUUAAGGUAGCGUAAUACCUUGUCGCUUAAUUGGCGACUUGCAUGAAGGCUCAACGAGUGUUCUACUGUCCCCGCCAUGACGCUAGUGAAAACAAUCAGUCUGGUGCACAAUCCAGACCCCUCCAUCUGAAAGCGAAGACCCCAUGGAGUUUCACUGCAACCUGUUGUUGUUGUAAGAAUUGGCAUGUGUAGGGUAGGCGGGAGACGUUACCCAGGAAGGUGCGCUAGCAUCUCUCCGAGUCACCGAUGAAACACCGCCCUUGUCAAUUUUUACGACUCACCUCUCAGGAGGGACAGCUAUAGGCAGGCAGUUCGGGUGGGGCGCCACGCCCUCAAAAAGAUAACAAGGGCGCCCAAAGGUUAGCUCAGGUAGGUCAGAAAUCUACCGAAGAAUGUAAGGGUAUAAGCUAGCUUGACUCGGAACCAGACAAUAGGGUUCGGAGAUAGGAAACUAUGGCCUAGCGAACCAAUCAACCUCCUGAAUGGGGGUGAUUGAUGUCAGAAAAAUUACCCUGGGGAUAAUUGAGUUGUCACGAGCAAGAGUUCAUAUCGACCUCGUGGCUUGCUACUUCGCUGUCGGCUCUCCCUAUCCUGGUGGUGCAGCAGCUGCCAAGGGUGGGGUUGUUCGCCCAUUAAAAGGGAUCGUGAGCUGGGUUUAAAACGUCGCGAGACAGUUUUGUUGCUUUUUGAUGGAGGUGUUGGUACCUGAUGAGAAGGACCCUUUAGUACGAGAGGAACAGGGGUUC
rnacentral:rRNA from 1 species